rnacentral:misc_RNA from 1 species
CUUUGUUAUAGUUUGGUACACACCCAUUUAGAAAUAUAGAAAUUUGCAAGAAUUAAAUAACUAGUCAAAACUGCCAAUAUUAAACUAUGUUUAUAAACAAAAAGAAGGGAAAGCGGAAUGAACAGUCACAGUCAUUCUGGAAGAUACAUACUCAUUGCAUUUGCAGGUAUCCAAAAAGAAUCAAGACAUGCACAGAGGCAGAGAUAAAGAAACCUAAACAGAUGCUUUUCUUGUAAACAAGAAAAAUUAGUCUCCACUUCCAACCCAGAAAUGCAAACCAAGAAAGAAUGCAGCUAAAUUAUAUAUGUUGUUUCUCAGGUGUGUGCUUCAAUAAAAUGCUACACAGAGGAGAGAGAGAGAGAGAG